rnacentral:rRNA from 1 species
GAUGAACGCUGGCGGCGUGCCUAAUACAUGCAAGUCGAGCGAACAGAUAAGGAGCUUGCUCCUUUGACGUUAGCGGCGGACGGGUGAGUAACACGUGGAUAACCUACCUAUAAGACUGGGAUAACUUCGGGAAACCGGAGCUAAUACCGGAUAACAUAUUGAACCGCAUGGUUCAAUAGUGAAAGGCGGCUUUGCUGUCACUUAUAGAUGGAUCCGCGCCGUAUUAGCUAGUUGGUAAGGUAACGGCUUACCAAGGCAACGAUACGUAGCCGACCUGGGAGGGUGAUCGGCCAAACUGGAACUGAGACACGGUCCAGACUCCUACGGGAGGCAGCAGUAGGGAAUCUUCCGCAAUGGGCGAAAGCCUGACGGAGCAACGCCGCGUGAGUGAUGAAGGUCUUCGGAUCGUAAAACUCUGUUAUCAGGGAAGAACAAAUGUGUAAGUAACUGUGCACAUCUUGACGGUACCUGAUCAGAAAGCCACGGCUAACUACGUG